GAGAAUUUUGAACUGGGCUCUUGAAUGAUGAUGCCUAGGAGUUUGUUGGGCAGAAGGCAGCUUCCAGCAGAGAGCAGCGCAAAGCCUGGAGGUCCACUUUGGGCUUCUGUCCAUUGCAGUCCAAAUGGAGCACAUUUUGCAGGGGUGGAACUACAGUGCCAGGGUGAGUUCUGGAGGCCAAAAAGUCCAGAUUCAAGGUGCCAGCGGAGCCCUGCUUCCUCCAGAAACCCUAGAGGAGACCUGUUCUUUGCCCCUUGCAGCUUCUGGUGGCGGGCUGCCUUCCUGCCUAUGGCUGUGUUACUGUAGUCACCUUUGUGUCUAUUUCGACCUUAUAAGGACAGUUGUCAUUGAACUUAGGACCCCACAGAUAAUCCAGGCUGACCUCAUCAUCUCAAGAUUCUGGGAAUUGAACCCAGAGACCCUUUACUACUGAGCUCUAUCCCUAGUCCUUUUUAUUUUAUUUUAUUUUAUUUUAUUUUGAGACAAGUUCUCACUAAGUUGCUAGGCUGAUCUUGAACUUGGGAUCUUCCUGCCUCAGCCUUCCAAGUUGCUGGGAUUAUAGGCAUAUGCCACCCCACCUGUCCGUCUCUAGAUUCUUAACUUCAUUGCAUCUGCAAAGACCCUUUAGCUAAAUAAAACCACACUCACAGUUUCUGGGAAUCAGGACGUGGGUAUUUCAUUUGGGGGGAGCACUAUGCAAACAGUACAAUAUCAUUAUGAAAAUAAGUUUGUGGAACCCUGAACGGGUCUUGGGGGGUCCUUGGAGUUCCUGGGCCAUACUUCAAAAACCAGGGAUCUGCCUUCCACACAUGUGUAAGGAGCUCCCAAGGCAGAGAAUGGAAGAAGACCAAGGAUGCUUUGCCCAGUAAGCUGGUGAAAGUAAAGUUUCCUUUGGCGAAGGAGCCCGGAAAAGUGGGAGGAGAGAUGUCUAAUAUGUGAGAGAGGAUCAAGGUCAGAUGGAAGCAGGGCAGAGUCAUGGAAGGGGAGGCUUUGAAAUACAGGGGCGUGUAAUGAUACAUCCCCACCUUCACCUUAAGACUGAUAAAGAGGUUGUUCACAAAGAGUUUGGUGUGAGUGAUUCUGGCAGAGAGAGGGCCUUCAAGAGAAGCAUCUGGGGCUCUGGUCUCGG